AAUAUUUGACUCUUAGUUUUAUUUGAAAUUUUUUUAUUAUUAAUAUUUUCAUUGUUACUAGAUUAUAAAACGUGAAUAGUACUUUACACGUGACUGUUUUUAAGUUUUUCUACAAAUUUUUUAAAUAAGACAAAUGGUCAAACAUU
rnacentral:pre_miRNA from 1 species